UUCAUAAGGGCGACUGAACCGGGAAGAGCCCAGCGCAUAACCUCGAACCCUCACUGAGGCGUCUUCGAGGGGUGUUGCGUUUCAGAGGGUCCAGCACGCCGACCAUUCUCGCCUAAGUCUCGUUUGAAAGCGGCUCAUUACCCAAGGAGGGUGAUAGGCCCGUAUGGCGACUCACCCGUGAGGGAUACCUUGGUCGGCGGAAAGGACUUUUCUGUAGAGUCAGGUUGCUUGAAACUGCAGCCUAAAGCAGGUGGUAAACUCCAUCUAAGGCUAAAUAUGACCACGAGACCGAUAGCGAACAAGUACCGUGAGGGAAAGUUGAAAAGAACUUUGAAGAGAGAGUUCAAUAGUACGUGAAACCGUUAAGAGCCUAAACGGGUGGAACUCGUAGAUCGAAAUGAGGGGAUUCAGCUCAAUGGCGUCGGCUGGGCCGAGAGGUCUCGCAUUGGAAGUGACGCCCGCGCGCGGUGUUCGCACCGGCGCGGGCCCGCCUCCGGUUCCUCUCGCCGGCGCCGGAGGGCGUAUUUCUCCUCGAAGUAGAUUGCCGCAGCCAUCGCUGGGGACGUCGAAGGCCCGGGCGGAUUGGUACCUCGCCGCGCCCCUUCUCCCGCCGCCCUUCCCCCUCCGGGGGUGGGUGCGGUCGGGGCUGGGCGGGCGGUGGGGGAAACCCCCGGUGACAGUGACACCCUGACUGCCCUGCGAUGGUUUAAUGAGUGGCGAGGGGGCCGCCGUUGGCAGGUCGCCGGGGUUCUUCCCCGUGACCGGGCGGUCUCCCUCUGCGGCAAUGGCUAAGUCGGUGGACCACCCGCCCCGUCUUGAAACACGGACCAAGGAGUUCAACAUGUGUGCGAGUCAUUGGGUGCUCUAAACCCAGAGGCGAAAUGAAAGUGAGAGACUGCAGGGGCCCCGCCUCUCCUGUUCCUCCUCCUCCCAAUUCCUUCUGUUCCUGCUCCUCCUGCUCCUCCUAACCCUCGGCCCGCCACCCUCCCUCCCCUCCUCGGGGGGGUCGCGAGGGCCGGGUCAGGGCGGCGGCGGCAGGCUGGUCGCAGGCUGACGGGCGGGAGGCUGGCUGGUGCGGAGGCCGGCGGGGUCUCCUGGGGCUGAUCCCUCGGCCACGCCAUGGCAUCCCCGGCUCCCUUGGAAGGGGCGAAGAGGGGGUGAGCACCCUUUCCCUCCUCUGCCCCGACCUCGGUCGGCGUCCGGCGGUUUGCGGUGGCCCUCGCCCGAGUGCUCCGGGCGCGCGCGGCGGCGGUCGGUCGUGCGGGGCGUCCCCAGCGGGCGUCCCGGCGCCGGCCGCCGCACCCAACGCGCUGCGUUCUCCGGUGUCGGGGGGGCGCAAGCCCGGGACUUGCUGUUUCGGCCCUCCGCGGAGGGGCGGGCGGGGGCGAUCUGCGCCUUCCCGUUUCCGCCGCGGCAGGUGCCGGCAAGUACCUUGAGCAGAUAUGUUGAGACCCGAAAGAUGGUGAACUAUGCCUGGCCAGGAUGAAGCCAGAGGAAACUCUGGUGGAGGUCCGGAGCGAUUCUGACGUGCAAAUCGAUCGUCAGAGCUGGGUAUAGGGGCGAAAGACUAAUCGAACCAUCUAGUAGCUGGUUCCCUCCGAAGUUUCCCUCAGGAUAGCUGGCACUCGUACAUGAGUUUCAUCCGGUAAAGCGAAUGAUUAGAGGUCUUGGGGACGAAACGUCCUCAACCUAUUCUCAAACUUUAAAUGGGUGAGUGUCUGGGCUUUCUUGAAAGACGGGGGCGCGGCGGCUCCCGGGCCGCUGGCGCCGCCGUCCGUGACUGAAGCUCCAGAGCCAAAUCACUGAGUGCCUAGUGGGCCAAUUUUGGUAAGCAGAACUGGCGCUGUGGGAUGAACCAAAUGUCGAGUUAAGGGGCCUAAAUGAAUGCUCAUAGAACCCAAGAAAGGUGUUGGUUGCUAUAGACAGCAGGACGGUGGCCAUGGAAGUUGGAAUCCGCUAAGGAGUGUGUAACAACUCACCUGCCGAAGCAACUAGCCCUUAAAAUGGUAUGGCGCUCAAGCAUUCUCCCGAUACUCGACCGCCGGCGGCACAACGGGCUUCGCCACGCAAGUCUUUAAGCCCCGGUGAGUAGGAGGGCGCGGUGGUGAGCGUUGAAGGUUUCGGCGUGAGCCGGACUGGAGCCGCCACUGGUGCAGAUCUUGGUGGUAGUAGCAACUAAUCGAGAGAGACUCCCUUGUAGGCCGAUGUGGAGAAGGGUUCCAUGUGAACAUCAAUUGGACAUGGAUCAGUCGCUCCUGAGCCCAAGGCUAACGCCUUGUACCACGUCGAGCGGUAACGGCUUCAGACGACCAGCCAGUUCCAAGCAAGGUUAUAAAGUAGUGCACGUCGAUGGUGACGGCGACGGACGACGGGACCGGCAGCAGCAGCAGC
rnacentral:rRNA from 1 species